GGAAUAUUGGACAAUGGGCGAAAGCCUGAUCCAGCAAUGCCGCGUGAGUGAUGAAGGCCUUAGGGUUGUAAAGCUCUUUUACCAGGGAUGAUAAUGACAGUACCUGGAGAAUAAGCUCCGGCUAACUCCGUGCCAGCAGCCGCGGUAAUACGGAGGGAGCUAGCGUUGUCCGGAAUUACUGGGCGUAAAGAGUACGUAGGCGGUGAUUCAAGUCAGAGGUGAAAGCCUGGAGCUCAACUCCAGAACUGCCUUUGAAACUAGAUCGCUAGAAUUGUGGAGAGGUUAGUGGAAUUCCGAGUGUAGAGGUGAAAUUCGUAGAUAUUCGGAAGAACACCAGUGGCGAAGGCGACUAACUGGACACAUAUUGACGCUGAGGUACGAAAGCGUGGGGAGCAAACAGGAUUAGAUACCCUGGUAGUCCACGCCGUAAACGAUGAUAACUAGCUGUUCGGGGUCUACGAUCCUGAGUGGCGCAGCUAACGCAUUAAGUUAUCCGCCUGGGGAGUACGGUCGCAAGAUUAAAACUCAAAUGAAUUGACGG
rnacentral:rRNA from 1 species